rnacentral:rRNA from 1 species
UACGGAGGGGGCUAGCGUUGUUCGGAAUUACUGGGCGUAAAGCGCACGUAGGCGGCUUUGUAAGUUAGAGGUGAAAGCCCGGGGCUCAACUCCGGAAUUGCCUUUAAGACUGCAUCGCUAGAAUUGUGGAGAGGUAAGUGGAAUUCCGAGUGUAGAGGUGAAAUUCGUAGAUAUUCGGAAGAACACCAGUGGCGAAGGCGACUUACUGGUCCGGUACUGACGCUGAGGUGGCGAAAAGCGU